GAGCCAAAUCUGCCUUGUCCGUAGCAUUCCUUGGAAAGCUGCACAAAUUGAAUGCCACCACCUUACCCUUUAUAUAAGUAGGAUAUGAGGUUA